GACGAACGCUGGCGGCGUGCCUAACACAUGCAAGUCGAACGGAAAGGCCCUGCCUUUGUGCGGUGCUCGAGUGGCGAACGGGUGAGUAACACGUGAGUAACCUGCCCUUGACUUUGGGAUAACUUCACGAAACUGGGGCUAAUACCGGAUAGGAUCUCCUGCUGCAUGGUGGGGGUUGGAAAGUUUCGGCGGUUGGGGAUGGACUCGCGGCUUAUCAGCUUGUUGGUGGGGUAGUGGCUUACCCAGGCUUUGACGGGUAGCCGGCCUGGGAGGGUGACCGGGCACAUUGGGACUGAGAUACGGACCAGACUGCUACGGGAGGCAGCAGUGGGGAAUAUUGCACAGUGGGAGGGAGCCUGAUGCGACAACGCCGCGGGCGGGAUGACGGCCUGCGGGUUGUAAACCGCUUUAGCCUGAGACGAAGCGUGAGUGACGGUAACGGGUAAAGAAGCACCGGCUAACUACGUG
rnacentral:rRNA from 1 species